rnacentral:lncRNA from 1 species
AAGGGCUGGCGUCACACGUCUAAUUUUGGGCUGUCUGGAGCGACGCGCUGCUUUCAGGCAGCGUUUCCCUGUGCCGAUCACUGGGGAGAUUUGGGCUGCUCUGCGGUAACUGGGUCCUUGAGGUCAGCAGCAUGGCUCCUGUUGAGACACGGUGUCAAAGCGUAUUUAUUUUCUUCCAGAUUUGCUCCAUCAUUUCCCCAACUGAUAACACCACAGGCUCUUUCCGAGCACCGUGUCAGCCUGCUGUGCCUUUUCCCCCACACGACCAGCCUCAGCUUCCCGAGCCGCAGGAUACGCGGACUCGAGCACCGGGAGGAGCAUUGCAGGGGCUCGGCCGGGCCCCCCGGCUGCUGGAUCUCGCCCACUGACCCCUCGUGGGACCACGGAGGUUCUUCUGCCCGCAGCCCAACGUUUGGCUCAGCUGAAUUGCACAGAGGUUGGCUGAGACCUACAGGCACCUGCGGGCAGAGGACCGACCUCCACCCCGCUGCCAAAAGGUGCGCUCUGCUUGUGCACCCCGCGGCCGGGCUGCAUCUUUAUUGCGCUGAGGACAGCGGGGGCGAGCCAGCGUCCCCUCGUCCCCACCGCCCCGCCACCGGCCCGGCAGCUGCCCGCGCUCCCUGCCCACCCUGCCUGCUGCUGCGUGCCCGCAGGACCGGAGCCAUUCCCCCUGGAAACGACCUCGGCACGCCAGCCAGCGAGCACGGAUGGCCAAGUGAAUGUAAGCUGAUGCUAAUAAAUCUCCUGAGCAUACGUCCCUACAUUGAGGUUUGUUCUGUUUGCAUAAACGGCAUAAUUAACCGCGUGUAUCUGUGCCCCCCUGCUGCCAAUCCGGACCUUCGCUGCAGCUGCUGCCCCCGACCCCGCGCCGCUCCUUGCCCUGUGCCUGCGCACCUCUCGCCUGUUGGUGCCGCAGGCGUCGCCAGCGGGAUGCCACGGGGCCGGAACGUCCCCCGAGCCUCACCGGGAGCCUCGCCGCCCCUCGCCGGGCAGCAGCUGGUGGGUUACAUUGGGCAGGUGAUCGGCCGGCUUUGCACCUCCCUCACGCUGCGUGUACCUGAGCCACAUUUUCUCCCUAGCAGGGUAUUUGGGCACCGUCACAAAUCACCGCUCAGCCCCGGCUCUGACGCGAUUGUACGACUUAGGAGGAUCAAAGUACGGCAUUUUCUCCAAACCUCAGAUAACUUUCAUGUUUCUUUCCUGAAUCCUGUCAGGUAUUUUAAUAACCGCUUAAAAUGCACAGUUCUGGUGCCAUUUUCCAGCGCUGCUCUCACCUCUGCUGAAUGCAGCAACACAGCCCCACAGCUGCUGCCCCAUCACCAAAACCGCCGCCUUGCACACCCGUGGGGGGCUCCCCCACACCACGGCCUUGCACAUGCGCCUGGGGAUUCCUUGCCCAUCUGUGCCCCCAGUCUGUGA